rnacentral:rRNA from 1 species
GACGAACGCUGGCGGCGUGCUUAACACAUGCAAGUCGUACGGUAAGGCCCUUUCGGGGGUACACGAGUGGCGAACGGGUGAGUAACACGUGAGUAACCUGCCCACAACUUUGGGAUAACGCUAGGAAACUGGUGCUAAUACUGGAUAUGUGCUCCUGCUGCAUGGUGGGGGUUGGAAAGCUCCGGCGGUUGUGGAUGGACUCGCGGCCUAUCAGCUUGUUGGUGGGGUAGUGGCCUACCAAGGCGGCGACGGGUAGCCGGCCUGAGAGGGUGACCGGCCACAUUGGGACUGAGAUACGGCCCAGACUCCUACGGGAGGCAGCAGUGGGGAAUAUUGCACAAUGGGCGCAAGCCUGAUGCAGCAACGCCGCGUGCGGGAUGACGGCCUUCGGGUUGUAAACCGCUUUCAGCAGGGACGAAGCUUUUUGUGACGGUACCUGCAGAAGAAGCACCGGCUAACCACGUG